rnacentral:rRNA from 1 species
CGAAUAGUCCUGCCUUGUACACACGCCGCCGUACUCCGAUGAAUGGCUUAGUGAGCCCUGGAUGAGGCUCGAGUUGGCAACAGUUCUGGUUUGAAAAGUGGUCAACUUGGUCAUUUAGAGGAAGUAAAAGUCGUAACAAGGUUCCGUAGUGAACCUGCGGAAGGAUCAUUA